UACGGGGGGGGCAAGCGUUGUUCGGAAUUACUGGGCGUAAAGGGCUCGUAGGCGGCCAACUAAGUCGGAUGUGAAAUCCCCAGGCUUAACCUGGGAACUGCAUCCGAUACUGGAUGGCUUGAAUCCGGGAGAGGGAUGCAGAAUUCCAGGUGUAGCGGUGAAAUGCGUAGAUAUCUGGAGGAAUACCGGUGGCGAAGGCGGCAUCCUGGACCGGCAUCGACGCUGAUGAGCGAAAGCGUGGGGAGCGAACAGG
rnacentral:rRNA from 1 species